rnacentral:lncRNA from 1 species
ACCUUUCCACCCCAAACCACCGCAUCACAAGCCACCCCAUGUCAAACCACCGCACAAGCCCCCGUAUGUUCCUAAACCACCUUACACACCAAGGCCUAAACCGCCUUACACGCCAAAACCACCUUAUACGCCAACCCCUAAGCCACCAUAUUUCCCCAAACCACCUUACACACCAAGGCCUAAGCCACCGUAUGCGCCAAAACCACCUUAUACGCCAACCCCUAAGCCACCCUAUUUCCCCAAACCACCUUACACACCAAGUCCCAAAACCACCUUACACCCCAACUCCUAAGCCACCGUAUGUCCCUAAACCACCGUAUGUACCAUCACCACCUUAUACCCCUCGCCCUAGACCACCGUAUGUACCAUCGCCACCUUAUACCCCUAGUCCUAAACCACCGUAUGUGCCAUCACCACCUUAUACCCCCAGCCCUACCCCACCAUAUGUACCAUCACCACCGUAUACCCCAAGCCCUACCCCGCCAUAUGUACCAUCACCACCGUAUACCCCAAGCCCUAGCCCACCACCACCACCAAGUGGAACACCGUGUCCUCCGCCGCCGCCACCAACUUGUCCCAUUGAUACUCUCAAG